rnacentral:tRNA from 1 species
GUGGGUACAGCUCAGUGGUAGAGUGCAUGCUUAGCAUGCAUGAGGUCCUGGGUUCAAUCCCCACUACCUUCA